UGUGAAGCCAACGUAGCAAGAUACCUUGA
rnacentral:piRNA from 1 species